AGUUGGAUGGAAUAGACCCGAAACCACAGUGAUCUAUCCAUGCCCAGGUUGAAGCACAGGUAAAAAUGUGUGGAGGACCGAACCAGUGAGCGUUGAAAAGCUUUUGGAUGAGGUGUGGAUAGGGGUGAAAUGCCAAUCGAACGUGGAGAUAGCUGGUUCUCCCCGAAAUAGCUUUAGGGCUAGCCUCAUGGAGAGAGUACAGGCGGUAGAGCACUGAACGGGGUAGGGGCCUAUCCGGCUACUGAACCUAAUCAAACUACGAAUGGCUGUACUUAUACAUGGGAGUCAGACUGUGAGUAAUAAGGCCCAUAGUCAAGAGGGAAACAGCCCAGACCAACAGCUAAGGUCCCCAAUGCCGUACUAAGUGGCGAAGGAUGUGGAAUUUCGAAAACAACCAGGAUGUUGGCUCAGAAGCAGCCACCAUUAAAAGAGUGCGUAAUAGCUCACUGGUCGAGAGACUCUGCGCCGAAGAUGACCGGGGCUAAAGUACGGAACCGAAGCUUUGGCAUGUAGGAAACUACAUGGGUAGGGGAGCGUUCCUGCAUGGAAGAAGCCUGACCGGAAGGACAGGUGGACAGGCAGGAAGAGAGAAUGCCGGUAUGAGUAGCGAAAAGGAAGGUGCGAAUCCUUCCCACCGAAAGCCUAAGGGUUCCUGGGCAACGAUCGUCGACCCAGGGUAAGUCGGGACCUAAUCCGAGGCGGAGACGCGUAGGAGAUGGACAACAGGUUGAAAUUCCUGUACCGCAAAAGUCUGAUUGAGCGAUGGAGUGACACAAGAAGGAAUGCGCGCAUGCGAUUGGAAGAGCAUGUCCAAGCAGGUAGGUAGUAUGAUAGGGAAAGCCGUCAUACUGAAAGCCGAGAUGCGAUGGGGAGCCUUUGGAGACAAAGGUGAAGGGGCAGGGACUCAAUUGUCGAGAAAAGCUUCUAGUAAGGACUUAGGCGCCCGUACCAAAACCGACACAGGUAGGCAAGAAGAGAAUUCUAAGGUGCGCGGGAAAACCCUCGUUAAGGAACUCGGCAAAAUGUAUCCGUAACUUCGGGAAAAGGAUAACCCAGAGUAGGUAAAGUCCAGAAACGGACGGAGCCGGAAUGGGAGGCAGAAGAGAGGCCCAAGCGACUGUUUACCACAAACACAGGCGUCUGCUAAAGCGAAAGCUGAUGUAUAGAUGCUGACACCUGCCCGGUGCUGGAAGGUUAAGAGGACGUGUUAGCCGCAAGGCGAAGCAGAGAAUUGAAGCCCCAGUAAACGGCGGCCGUAACUAUAACGGUCCUAAGGUAGCGAAAUUCCUUGUCGGGUAAGUUCCGACCCGCACGAAAGGUGUAACGAUUUGGGCACUGUCUCAACGAGGGACCCGGUGAAAUUGAAGUACCUGUGAAGAUGCAGGUUACCCGCGACUGGACAGAAAGACCCCAUGGAGCUUUACUGUAACCUGAGAUUGGAUUCCGGUAGAAGAUGUACAGGAUAGUUGGGAGGCUGGGAAGUGAGUACGCAAGUAUUGACAGAGCCGAUGGUGGGAUACCAACCUUGUUUUAUUGGAAUUCUAACGAGA
rnacentral:rRNA from 1 species